UUUUCAAUCCUUUUAUAUUUAACCUAAUACCAUUAAUUUCUACCCAUCACCAUCCAAUAGCCCAUUCAUGGAGUCUCAGGAUGAACUCCAGGAACCCAUUUUACAGUCACUGCCUGAUCCACCUGCCCAUUCUGAAGGGAACUCCAGGCUCGAAAAGGUGCUGAACGAUCACCAAUUGCCGUACUUCAAGCGCCUCCGUUUGGCUUCAUGGAUUGAACUUAAGCUCCUCUUCCGCCUGGCUGCACCGACAGUUUUUGUUUACAUGAUCAACAAUUUGAUGUCCUUAUCCACCAGAGUCUUCGCCGGCCAUCUCGGUAAUCUUGAGCUUGCUGCUGCCUCUCUUGGCAAUAGCGGCGUCCAACUCUUUGCCUAUGGCCUCAUGUUGGGGAUGGGAAGUGCAGUGGAAACUCUAUGUGGUCAAGCUUAUGGAGCUCACAGAUAUGAAAUGCUUGGCACAUACCUCCAAAGAGCAACGGUUGUGCUAACUAUAACUGGGAUACCAAUUACUAUGAUUUACCUUUUCUCAGAGCCUAUCUUGCUCUUACUGGGAGAGCCAAGCAAAGUGGCAGCAGCAGCCGCAGUGUUUGUUUAUGGUCUAAUACCUCAAGUUUUUGCUUAUGCUGUGAAUUUUCCGACACAAAAAUUCCUUCAAGCUCAGAGCAUAGUGAACCCAAGUGCUGUUAUAUCAGCAACUACUCUUGUGCUGCACUUAUUUCUCACCUGGCUUGCAGUGUAUCAGAUGGGUUUGGGAUUAAUAGGCACUUCAUUGGUGUUAAGCUUGUCAUGGUGGAUCAUAGUUGGUGCCCAGUUUAUUUAUAUAUUGAAAAGUAGUCGGUGUAAGCAGACAUGGAAUGGUUUUACCUUGCAGGCCUUUUCUGGACUUUGGGAGUUUGUGAAACUAUCACUAGCAUCGGCAAUAAUGCUGUGCUUGGAGACUUGGUACUUUCAGAUAUUAGUGUUGAUUGCUGGUCUGCUCAAGAACCCUGAGAUUGCCUUGGAUUCCCUUGCUGUAUGUACGGCUGUAAGUGCGUUGCUAUUCAUGGUCUCAGUCGGAUUCAAUGCAGCUGCAAGUGUCAGAGUUAGCAAUGAAUUAGGAGCAGGGAAUCCCAAGUCAGCAGCAUUCUCAGUUGUGAUGGUGACUCUGGUUUCCUUCAUAAUAGCAGUUAUAGAAGCUGUGAUUGUGCUUGCUCUGCGCUAUGUAAUUAGCUAUGCUUUCACUAGUGGAGAAACUGUAGCCAAUGCUGUCUCAGAACUUUGUCCUUUUUUGGCAGUCACCCUAGUACUUAAUGGGGUUCAACCAGUCCUCUCCGGUAAGAAUUCUUCUACUCAGGUCCUGUAACUCAGCACGAGAACUUCAAGUUUCCAUAAGUGGUUAACUGAUAUGAUAAAAAGAGUCAACUAAUAUGAUGGGCAAUGUGACUGCUGGCUUGUAUCGUCAAUAUAUGUUGGUCGGCUAAUUGACAACUUCAUAAUUGUGAAGGAGUUGCUGUUGGGUGUGGAUGGCAAGCAUUUGUGGCAUAUGUAAAUGUGGGAUGCUAUUAUGUGGUUGGAAUUCCUUUGGGUUGUCUUCUUGGGUUUAAGUUCGAUCUUGGUGCAAAGGGAAUAUGGGGUGGGAUGAUAGGAGGAACUGUGAUGCAGACUUUCAUUUUAUUAUGGGUGACUUUGUGCACAGAUUGGAACAAAGAGGUAGAGAAGGCUAAAAUUCGUUUGGACAAAUGGGAUGAUAAAACAAAGCAGCAUCGACCAUCACAGGAUUUUUUCACAUUCAUAAAUAAAUGUUCUGAACAAACAUUAAUUAACCAAAAUAUUUUUUCAAUUAUCACCAUGUGUCGAAUGUGGCUGAUUGUUGUUAACCGUUUGAUUGCUGGACUUCGUGAGAGCAAAAGCUAAAGCAUCUCUUUUAAUAAUUAAAUUGAAAUAAUUGAAAUAAUUAUGCUUAUUGAGCCCCUACCUUCCAUCAAUGAGGUUUUCUUCAACAAGAGAGGCGGAUGCCUAAUGAUCUUAAUCCCAAGGUGUUUGUGAAUAAAUCUGUUCCAAAUUCAAGCACUUACAAGAUGGCAUUGCUGCUUUUUGUGGGUCGAUUUUAUUCCUUGUUGCGCAGAUUUUGUUUGCCAAUUUGUGG
rnacentral:misc_RNA from 1 species